AUUGAACGCUGGCGGCAGGCCUAACACAUGCAAGUCGAACGCGCGUCGGGCGGGGGAGGGAUGUAUGGGGAACUGUGCGUUAGCGAGGGAUAACUACUCGAAAAAGUGUCUAAUACCGCAUACUAUCGGCUAUACCCAUAUUGGAUUAGCUAGUAGGGGUGGUAAUGGCUCACCUCGGCGACGAUCCCUAGCUGGUCUGAGAGGAUGAUCAGCCACACUGGGACUGAGACACGGCCCAGACUCCUACGGGAGGCAGCAGUGGGGAAUAUUGCACAAUGGGCGCAAGCCUGAUGCAGCCAUGCCGCGUGUAUGAAGAAGGCCCUCGGGUUGUAAAGUACUUUCAGUCGGGAGGCGUUACCCACAGAAGAAGCACCGGCUAACUCCGUGCCAGCCGCCGCGGUAAUAC
rnacentral:rRNA from 1 species